rnacentral:rRNA from 1 species
UACGGGGGAUGCAAGCGUUAUUCGGAAUUAUUGGGCGUAAAGGGCGCGUAGGCGGUUUUGUCGGUCAGAUGUGAAAGCCCGGGGCUCAACCCCGGACGUGCAUUUGAAACAGCAAGACUUGAGUACGGGAGAGGAAAGCGGAAUUCCUGGUGUAGAGGUGAAAUUCGUAGAUAUCAGGAGGAACACCGAUGGCGAAGGCAGCUUUCUGGACCGAUACGGACGCUGAGGCGCGAAGGCGGGGGUAGCGAACAGGAGUAGAUACCCUGGUAGUCCACGCAGUAAACGAUGUACACUCGGUGUAGCGGAUAUUAAAACCUGCUGUGCCCAAGCUAACGCAUUAAGUGUACCGCCUGGGAAGUACGGUCGCAAGACUAAA